UACAGAGACUGCGAGCGUUAUUCGAAUUCACUGGGCGUAAAGGGUGCGCAGGCGGCCGAGUGUGUGAGGCGUGAAAGCCCGGGGCUUAACCCCGGAAUUGCACCUCAAACUACACGGCUAGAGCAUUGGAGAGGGUAGCAGAAUUCAUGGUGUAGCAGUGAAAUGCGUAGAUAUCAUGAGGAAUACCAGAGGCGAAGGCGGCUACCUGGACAAUUGCUGACGCUCAGGCACGAAAGCGUGGGGAGCAAAAGGG
rnacentral:rRNA from 1 species